UUGCAGUGGGUACGGGCAGACUAGAGUGCAGUANGGGAGAAGGGAAUUCCUGGUGUAGCGGUGGAAUGCGCAGAUAUCAGGAGGAACACCAAUGGCGAAGGCACUUCUCUGGGCUGUAACUGACGCUGAGGAGCGAAAGCGUGGGGAGCGAACAGGAUUAGAUACCCUGGUAGUCCACGCCGUAAACGUUGGGCGCUAGAUGUGGGUCACAUUCCACGUGAUCCGUGUCGCAGCUAACGCAUUAAGCGCCCCGCCUGGGGGAGUACGGCCGCAAGGCUAAAACUCAAAGGAAUUGACGGGGGCCCGCACAAGCGGCGGAGCAUGCGGAUUAAUUCGAUGCAACGCGAAGAACCUUACCAAGGCUUGACAUAUACAGGAAAACUGCAGAAAUGUAGUCCCCGCAAGGUCUGUAUACAGGUGGUGCAUGGUUGUCGUCAGCUCGUGUCGUGAGAUGUUGGGUUAAGUCCCGCAACGAGCGCAACCCUCGUCCUAUGUUGCCAGCACGUUAUGGUGGGAACUCAUGGGAGACUGCCGGGGUCAACUCGGAGGAAGGUGGGGAUGACGUCAAAUCAUCAUGCCCCUUAUGUCUUGGGCUUCACGCAUGCUACAAUGGCCGGUACAAAGGGCUGCAAUACCGUAAGGUGGAGCGAAUCCCAAAAAGCCGGUCUCAGUUCGGAUUGAGGUCUGCAACUCGACCUCAUGAA
rnacentral:rRNA from 1 species